AGUUCAUGAUGAGGACAUCUUCUCAAAAAAUCCUUAAAGCUAUCCCAUGUAUCAUAAAGUGUUUUAAUGUCAAAUUGAACAAAACAAGAGAUGUCAUUCCUUAACUU
rfam:Gossypium hirsutum cultivar TM-1 chromosome 25, whole genome shotgun sequence